rnacentral:rRNA from 1 species
GACGAACGCUGGCGGCGUGCUUAACACAUGCAAGUCGAACGGAAAGGCCUCCACCUUGGUGGGGGUGCUCGAGUGGCGAACGGGUGAGUAACACGUGGGUGAUCUGCCCUGUACUUCGGGAUAAGCUUGGGAAACUGGGUCUAAUACCGGAUAGGACCAUGGUUUAGUGUCUCAUGGUGGAAAGAUUUUUUGGUGCAGGAUGAGCUCGCGGCCUAUCAGCUUGUUGGUGGGGUAAUGGCCUACCAAGGCGUCGACGGGUAGCCGGCCUGAGAGGGUGGACGGCCACAUUGGGACUGAGAUACGGCCCAGACUCCUACGGGAGGCAGCAGUGGGGAAUAUUGCACAAUGGGCGCAAGCCUGAUGCAGCGACGCCGCGUGGGGGAUGACGGCCUUCGGGUUGUAAACUCCUUUCGUUAGGGACGAAGCCGCACCUUUUUUGGGUGUGGUGACGGUACCUUUGUUAAGAAGCACCGGCUAACUACGUGCCAGCAGCCGCGGUAAUACGUAGGGUGCGAGCGUUGUCCGGAAUUACUGGGCGUAAAGAGCUCGUAGGUGGUUUGUUGCGUCGUCUGUGAAAUUCCGGGGCUUAACUUCGGGGUGGCAGGCGAUACGGGCAUAACUAGAGUGCUGUAGGGGAGACUGGAAUUCCUGGUGUAGCGGUGGAAUGCGCAGAUAUCAGGAGGAACACCGAUGGCGAAGGCAGGUCUCUGGGCAGUAACUGACGCUGAGGAGCGAAAGCAUGGGGAGCGAACAGGAUUAGAUACCCUGGUAGUCCAUGCUGUAAACGGUGGGCGUUAGGUGUGGGGACCGGUUUGGUUUCUGUGCCGUAGCUAACGCAUUAAGCGCCCCGCCUGGGGAGUACGGCCGCAAGGCUAAAACUCAAAGGAAUUGACGGGGGCCCGCACAAGCGGCGGAGCAUGUGGAUUAAUUCGAUGCAACGCGAAGAACCUUACCUGGGUUUGACAUGCACCAGACGGUUGUAGAGAUACGUACCUCCCUUUGUGGUUGGUGUGCAGGUGGUGCAUGGUUGUCGUCAGCUCGUGUCGUGAGAUGUUGGGUUAAGUCCCGCAACGAGCGCAACCCUUGUCUUAUGUUGCCAGCACUUUGGGUGGGGACUCAUGAGAGACUGCCGGGGUUAACUCGGAGGAAGGUGGGGAUGACGUCAAAUCAUCAUGCCCUUUAUGCCCAGGGCUUCACACAUGCUACAAUGGUUAGUACAACGCGCUGCGAGCCUGUGAGGGUGAGCGAAUCGCUGAAAGCUAAUCUCAGUUCGGAUUGGGGUCUGCAACUCGAUCCCAUGAAGUCGGAGUCGCUAGUAAUCGCAGAUCAGCAAUGCUGCGGUGAAUACGUUCCCGGGCCU